GACGAACGCUGGCGGCGUGCUUAACACAUGCAAGUCGAACGGAAAGGCCCUGCUUUUGUGGGGUGCUCGAGUGGCGAACGGGUGAGUAACACGUGAGUAACCUGCCCUUGACUUUGGGAUAACUUCAGGAAACUGGGGCUAAUACCGGAUAGGAGCUCCUGCUGCAUGGUGGGGGUUGGAAAGUUUCGGAGGUUGGGGAUGGACUCGCGGCUUAUCAGCUUGUUGGUGGGGUAGUGGCUUACCAAGGCUUUGACGGGUAGCCGGCCUGAGAGGGUGACCGGCCACAUUGGGACUGGGAUACGGCCCAGACUCCUACGGGAGGCAGCAGUGGGGAAUAUUGCACAAUGGGCGGAAGCCUGAUGCAGCAACGCCGCGUGCGGGAUGACGGCCUUCGGGUUGUAAACCGCUUUCGCCUGUGACGAAGCGUGAGUGACGGUAAUGGGUAAAGAAGCACCGGCUAACUACGUG
rnacentral:rRNA from 1 species